UACGGAGGGGGCUAGCGUUGUUCGGAAUUACUGGGCGUAAAGCGCGCGUAGGCGGCUUUGUAAGUUAGAGGUGAAAGCCCGGAGCUCAACUCCGGAAUAGCCUUUAAGACUGCAUCGCUAGAACGUUGGAGAGGUAAGUGGAAUUCCGAGUGUAGAGGUGAAAUUCGUAGAUAUUCGGAAGAACACCAGUGGCGAAGGCGACUUACUGGACAACUGUUGACGCUGAGGUGCGAAAGCGUUGGGAGCAAACAGG
rnacentral:rRNA from 1 species